CUGGUCUUGACAUCCUGGGAAUCCCGUAGAGAUAUGGGAGUGCCGCAAGGAGCCCAGAGACAGGUGCUGCAUGGCUGUCGUCAGCUCGUGUCGUGAGAUGUUGGGUUAAGUCCCGCAACGAGCGCAACCCUUGUCCUUAGUUGCCAUCAUUUAGUUGGGCACUCUAAGGAGACCGCCGGUGACAAGCCGCGAGGAAGGUGGGGAUGACGUCAAGUCCUCAUGGCCCUUACAGGCUGGGCUACACACGUGCUACAAUGGCGGUGACAAUGGGACGCAAUGGGGAAACCCUGCGCAAAUCUCAAAAAGCCGUCUCAGUUCGGAUUGUGCUCUGCAACUCGAGCACAUGAAGUUGGAAUCGCUAGUAAUCGCAGAUCAGCACGCUGCGGUGAAUACGUUCCC
rnacentral:rRNA from 1 species